GCUCGCAUAGCUCAGUUGGUAGAGCGCGGCACUAGUAAUGCCGAGGUCUACGGUUCAAAUCCGUAUGUGAGCA
rfam:Pseudogymnoascus pannorum VKM F-3775 contig_2465, whole genome shotgun sequence.